UGCGUAGGUGGCGCCAUAAGUCGGGUGUGAAAUCUCGGGGCUUAACUCCGAAACUGCAUUCGAUACUGUGGUGCUUGAGGACUGGAGAGGAGACUGGAAUUCAUGGUGUAGCAGUGAAGUGCGUAGAGAUCAUGAGGAAGACCAGUGGCGAAGGCGGGUCUCUGGACAGUUCCUGACACUGAGGCACGAAGGCCAGGGGAGCAAACG
rnacentral:rRNA from 1 species